GUAUUGUAUGAUAGUAUGAAACACCAACUUUUUAAAGUGCUCAUUUUUUUCAAUACAUUUCAUUCCACUAAAAAUUUCCCCUAGUGCCUUCGACAUUACAAGGUUCGUGGAACUGCAAACCACCCAGUACUCUAAUUUGUAGAAUUGCCUUCUCUUGCUGCAGUAUGUCUUAGAUUAUGUGUAUUUAUUGUGUGCACUUGCCUAGUAAUUUAAAAUGAUGCUCCUAAAAUUGGAGCUUUCCAAAUGAAUACUGCAAUUUAGAGACUGAUAACAAGAAACCAGGUAUUUUUACAGGACUAUAAGGGGCAAAUUCAAGUGGCAAACUAACAUUCUGCUUUGUAAGUAAAAUUAAACUCAACAGGGUUUAGAACAUAAUUCAAGUUCAACUUUUUAAUGUUCUGCUCUUUUAGCCUUUGGCUUUAUGCCUAGGAGAUGAUAAAAUGCAUACGUUUUGGAAUUAUACCCAAUAGCAAUUUCAAACAGGUUGCUAUUGUCUGAGUAUUCAUGUAGCAUUCAGCUCAAGCUUUCCCUUGAAGUGAGUUUGAUCAAGUUGCCAAUUUUUGAUUAUAUACUUGCACUACUUUUUUCAAAAUUAGGAAAAAUAGAUUUCUUCUUCUGCCUGGCCACUCUCAGACAAAUUUAAAAACUAAAAUAAGGGUUCUAGUGUUUUUAUUAUUAUUAACAAUAUUAUUAAAGUUAACAUCUCCUAAUAAUUGAAGGAACUUAGAUUCUUGAAUGUUGCUGUUUUUAAUAUUCACUUGCAAAAUAUACACACAAAAUAGUUUUACUCAGCCAAACUUUUUUCUCCCUUUCCUCCAAUCUCCUCAGUUGUAAACUCAGGGCAAUGUUCUAGAGGAGACCUGCAGGACCAAAGCUUGAACACUCUGGAUUGAGCUUUUUAAAUAACUGCUACAAUUUUAGCAUCAGAAUCUUUAAAACACAGUUAUUCAAAUGUGAAUCAGAGGAAGAUGGGAACAGUAAAGAAAACUCCAACCAUCUGUUUGUAGAAUACACUGGUUAGAGUGAGCAGUUCACUUCAUUCAAUGUUGAUUAUACUUGGAAAAUAAUUGGCUGGCGAGGAAUGCAUUCUUGUGAUUCUAUUUCAGGGGAAAUAUCAGGGGAAUAUAUCUAUAUUCUCCUCUCCUAGAUAGAAAGAAGCUCCUUUUUGUUGUUCUUCUCUCCAAAUGAAGAUUGACUAUAACAUUCUUUUGUUCAUCUUACCAAAGCCUGCACUUCUUAUCUGGCCACACCAGCACACUAAAUUGGCAUUCAGUGGGGGGAGGACAUGACUUUCCCAUUGCUUGUUUAGAAUUGAGUGUUUCAUGCUACUCUCCCCAUAAAGUAUCUUAAGGGCUAUCUUUCCCUCAAAUGAUUGUUCACACUUUUUCUUUAUUUUGCUUUUGGAUGUCAGUGCUAUUAUUCACCUGUCUUCCACCAUUAUCAUCAUUAUCUAAAAAUUGAAUUUUCCAUAAAUAAUCAGCUGAAGCAUAAAAUCACUUGCUUUCACAAUCUUAGCACCCUGUGAGCCAGCAUUAUCAUAGCACCAUGCACAAUCUGGAGAGCCAUACGAGAGUGAAUGAACAUCUGACAAGAAUCUUCUUCUGGAUAUAAAAAGAAAUUAAAGCUGCACCUGUAUAUCUGCGUACAAUUUCAAGCACUUAUUUAAGUAUGCUAUAACAACAACAGAGAAAGCAAGGGUAGACAGUGCCAUAGGUGACUGUAUCAUGUUACCCAGGGAAAGGAAGAUUAGCCAUCCAGAGAUAUUAGUAAAAAUUUAUCCCUGAAGGGGAUACACAUUUGUGAAGAAUUGAUAUUCUCAGGCAAUAUAAGAAGUGAUCAAACACAAUUUAAAAGAUUCUAGAGAAAGGAGUGUUCAUUUUUUGUUAUAUUAUUUCAUAGAAAUCAAUGUCAUAAAUGUGUUUCCCAAAGCAAAUAGAAGGGUAGAAAACUAUCAUGGUUUAAAGAAUAAAAUGUGCUUAACUAAGCUAGGCUAAGUGGGAGCCAGAGCUUGAGUUCCUUCUAUUAUGUUCAGAGGCAGAGGAAGCAAUAAGAAAUUCACUCUUCAAAUAUCCUUAUAAUUCUUAUUCUUAAUGCAAACAUUAGGUCUAGAAACUCUGAGAAUAAUCAAAGAAGAAUCAGUAAUCUCUCAGUUUCCUCUGAACACAGAGCCUUUCCUCAACUUGGACUGUUUUUAUUUCCUGUAUCACAACUUACAAGAUGAAUCCAACAUGUAUUUACUUGAAUUUGUAAAGAAUGAAUCCUCCUUGGGAUGCAAACUGCUGGGAGAUCUCUAACUGCUUUUAGCCCUCUGCCUCUAACUCCACUCCAUCACUUCUUAUUCCUAGCAGAGUUCUACCUGUCAGUCUAAUUUUCUCUACCUUUUCAAUCAAUUCAAGUCCACUCAUUCUUUCCAAGAAUUUCUUCCUUGAAAAUUUUUGGUUUAAUCUUUCCUAAACCACCUAGUCACUUUUCAGCACAAACUUGAAGCCAUUGAAAGUUUGACUUUUUUGCCAAAGAAAUAAGUCAACAGGCAUUUGUUUAUAAAUUGCUGUUCAUCUUUUCAUUUAUCCAUUCAUUUAGCACCUGUCUCUUCAUCCUGCACUAAUGUCAACACUCAGAUCAAAAAUAGGAAAAAACUUUAGGAGGCUCAACAUUUUCUAGUCUACUAGAGAAUGAGAGACAUUUUUUUGUAAGUGGGGUAAGAAAGACCAGAGAAGUGCCCCCAGGUAAGUUUCAGGGACAUAGUAAGAGAUUAUGAAAAUAAGUCUGCCGUGGGUCCAUAUGCACAAUUGGAGGGGCUCAGUACAAAAUGAAAAUGUGAGGCUACUUCUUAAAAAUUAGUAAAAAUUUUAGCAUAGUAAGACAUUAAUCAAAGCACAGGGCCCCCUGAAACUAUAAGACUAAACACAUAAAAGUUGGCCUCCAUAGCUGUUAAAUUAGGUAUUCCUCUAUAGAACAGCAACAGCAAAAACUUUAGCAAGGGGAAGGAAUAAAUUAUAGAAAACAGAAGUUUUCUCAUUUAUAAAAUUAGAGUACUGAACCUUUUAUCACAAGUUUUUGUGAGCUUUUUCACACACACACACACACACACACACACACACACACACACACACACAGUUAUUUCACCCAAAAAGCCAUGUUUUGAUUAUGCCGUCUUGAAAUAUUUAUAUUUCAAUUUUAACUCUAAAAAAACCUAUGCUAAGGUAGAUGAAAUUACCAAACUAGGCAAUUUAAUGCCAAUUUAAAUGAUUUUGUUUUCAAAUAGUUGAAAAAUAUCUAAAGAUACCAGUUUCUACCAGAAUAGAAACCAAAAUUUGGUAACCCAUGAUUAAAUACUAUACAAAUUCUCUUCAUGUUCUCUUUUCUUGUGAUUCUCACUAACAAAAAGGGAACAUUUGAGAAUUUUCUGGGUUUUUUUUUCCCCUUGGAAAAAUGCAUGUAUGAUCAGUUUCAGAAAUACAAUGAGAAACUAAAACUUGGUGAAAACAAUGUACCUCUAACAUACUAAUUGAUUUAAGAAUUAAAGCUGCAUUUAUGUUCUCUAUCUUCACAUCUCACAGCACUAAUCUUAUGAUUUAUGCAGAUUCUAACUUGACAUACCUGUCCAUUUUUGGUACCUUGCCACUUCCGAAAGCUUCCAAGCUUUAAAAAGGCACAUGAAUUUACAUAAGCGUCUUUGGAAAAUGGACUGUGAACAGUUUUUCUUUCCUAAUUAUAUAUUCAUUUAACAUACAAUGAGCUUAUUAUACUUGGAAAAUUCACAGGCCUUUAUAUGAUAGAGUUAUGACCUGGACUCAAGAGUCUUUCACAAAUAAGAAAAAAAGCUAAUAGUUACUUAAAGCAAAGCUGGGUUUGCCAAUAUGUUGGUAUUUAGAGAUCAAAGGACACUGACUCAUGUUUUCUGUGUAAUUUAGUCUUAGUUAAUAUUAAUAACAUACAUUUUCAAAUAAUUUAUGUUUAGAGAAAAAUAUGUUAUGUCGUUGAUUUAAAAAAAAAAAACUUUAAAACAGGGCUGGGAAUGUGGCUCAGGGAUAGAGUACUUGUCUAGCAUGUAUGAGGGCUUUGGGUUGAUUCUCAGAACCCAAAAAACAAAAUAACAACACUUUAAAAUAGAGGUGUCUCCCUCUUAAAGAAAAUUAAUCUCCCUAAUGCAAUGUCUUAUUGGACUAUCCUAUACCACUGUGGAAGUAUUAGUUCACUAUUACACAAGAAUUUGAUAAUUUAAACAGCUUAAACAAAUCACUUCUUUUACUAGCUUAUUCUCUGUCUACAUAAACUGGUUUGCUUGACAACUAUAAAAUUUCUUUUAGACAUUGAACAGCAGUUUAGUUUCAUUUGUCUUACACUUUGUAUGUGGUUGUUUGCCUAUUUAGAACUUUUUAACAAACGACUAUAGAAGGUAACAUAUUUUGAUAAUCAGGUAUUUGGAUUCCCUACACUACUUUAGUUUGGAUGAUUCAAGUUACAGUUAACUGAAGUGACCUGAAUGACCAAAAUGACUGAAGUAGUUUUCAUGCACAUACAUGUAUAUCUGCAAAUACAAUAAGAACAAGUAAAUGAAUUAUCAUUGUAUACAGGCAACACAAUGAUGAAGACUGAAUCUUUUGCAUUUAGUUCACUCAACAAAUACUGAGUGCCUGCUAGAAGAAGCCAACCUCUCUUUUAGACACUGGUAUUUACAUCAACUGACAGAUUUUCUCAAGUUUCUUGAUGGCAGCAUUUUGAAACAAAGAUUGUGACGUUACUCAUUUUGAGAACAAUUCUGAGGUUUUAUAUCAUCAAUAUUUUGAGUCAAAAUUGUAAGGUAAUCACAUUUCACUCUGUAAUUCGUUCCACUGAUUGCAUAAGAAAAAUAGGAGCUGACAUCAUAAUACAAAAAUACUGUCACUUCCCAUUUAUGUAACCUUGAGGCAAAUUCCUGGUGUGUAGGGUUCAUUGUUUAAUGAGUACCUACAUUAUACCAGGAAAGUUCUAGAAUGCAACAGGAAGAAAUGGUAAGAUAGAAUUGUGUAUGAAUGCUUUCCGAUGCCAUGAGAAGGAACUUUUAUGCUAAAACUUAAAGAUCAAUCAGGAAAGGAACAUGAUCAGAUAUGCUCUAAAGGAAGAUCCUUUGGACAACCUCAGAGAGUGCUUUAGAGAUCAGUGGCUUGCUAAUAGAAUAAGUAGGGCACAGUGCAGUAAUUCUGAUGAGAAAUAACAAGGGCCUGGGAAAAGAAAAUAAGGGGUAGGGAAAAGGAGAUAUAGACCCAAAAGAUAGUAUGGAGAUAAAAUCUACAGAACUUGACAACCUAUUGACUAUGCGAAAGAAGAAAGAGGAAGCAAAGAUGAAGGCCAGUUUUAAUGCUUAGAUGGUCAAUGGGAGGCAGAUCCCCUACUUGGGUCAGACUAAGGCAGUUCCAAGUCAUACUUAGAGUGUCAGAGUAUUUGGUUAUGAGGCAUCCUCACUUCGAAAGCUGCCCUGGUUUAUAUGAUAAACUAUGUGCCCCAACCCAAGAAAACAGUCAUUACUUAUGACCAUGAUCAGAUUGAUCAGAUUCACGUCAUCAGGAAGACUCUGAGAAAAGUGAAUGCUAAGUAAAUGAACAGCAUUUAAGUUAAGGCUCUCCAGAGACAAAUCUCCUUAAGCAAAAUAGGUUUGUGCCUGUGGAGGUCAGAAGAGAAACAUUGGAGUUGAUAUGUAGAUUCGGGCACUAUGUCAGCAUAUUAGAGUCAAAAGGGAAUGAAAUGACAAAGUAGCAUGUGAAAAAAUAAGGGAAAUGCUGGUAAUAAAAUCCUGGGAAGUACUGAAGUAUCAUGAUAAAGAGGAGGAAGGAUUUGCAAAGGAGAUUGUGAAAUGGCUGCCAGUGACAGAUACUAGGAGAAAAAUCCAAAUAAAUCAUAUCAUUUGAACAGAGAGAGAAGAUAAUUCCCAUGCAACAGAGUAAAAAAACAAGUAAAAUAAGAAAUAAUACAUACCACUGAAUAGAGUGAUUCUGAAGUCACUGAUAAACUUGGCAAGGGUAAAUUCCAUGGAUGAUGAAUGUAAUAACCAAAUUACAACAGGUGGAGAGGCAAGCAAUAUUGUGUGAAGGCAGUGCAUAAUCUUAAGAAAAUCAGAAGAUUUAAAGUCAGAGAUUCUCCCCCACAAACACACAUCUCUUACAGAAUGACUUUGGGCAGGUAGUUUUAUUUGAACCUCACUCAUUCUUCAAUCAGUACAUAUUCAUCAAACAUUUAUAGAGCAAUCAAUGUAUGGCAGGCACAGAGCUAACUAGCUAACCAUGGACAACAUAUGAUAUGGAGGAACACAAUAUGAGUAAUGCUCUUACCAGUAUAUGGGCAGUAUGGUUUGCUCUCUGACUAUAAGCCCUAUUAGUAAUAAUUAUUUUAAAAUUCAGCUAAUGUUUACUAAGUUCCUCCAAAUGUCAAGCACUGUGUUAAAGACUCCAUAUGAAUUAUUUCACUUCAUCCAUUUAGCAUGUUAUGUAGACACAAUGUGAGAGUGGUACUACUUUCAGUUCUAAUCUGCAGGUAAGGAAAUCAAGACACAGAGAGGUUUAGGAACUUAUUGAAUGUCACCCUGACAGAUAAAGAAUAGUGAGGAGAGCCCAGAUGGGCUGGCUUUGAGCUAGUAUUUUGUACCUCUUUCCCUGUCAAGUGUCAGGUCAUUUCUAUCUCUUCAAUAUUGUGUCCUGUAUAUUCUCUCAGUUCCUGAUACAUUUUAAUUCCUGAAAUAUUAAUAACUGUGGAAGACAAGAAAGAAAGAGAGGGAAAGAGGGAGGAGGGCACAAAAGAAGGAAGGACUACAGUAAGAAACCAGGAUGGAGUGACAAGUUUUGCCUAGUAGUUGGAAUUUUUAAUCAAAGAGAUGAAAGGCUGGCAGAAUCUUACAGGAAGUGCAAUGACUGAACCAAGAAAGAGAAGAACAGUAACUCCAUAUAAGUUUGCAAAUGCAGCACUUUAUCAUGCCCAUUCACCUGUUUGAAGGCCUCACAUUCUCUAAUCUUCUGAAGUACCUAAUCUUUGCCCAUGUGAUCACAGAUGGCAUCAUUGGGCACCAUUUUAUUCUACAUCUUGAUGUGAAUAGUCACUAACCUUACUGUCUGGACUUCUUACCCCACGUCUUGCCAGUCAUCUAAAAUUUUAAAUUCAAACGACUGGUUUUUUUUCAAAAUCUUGUAGAGCUUUUUAUAUAGAUGCCCUGGGGUUUCAACAGAAACAAACAAUCACUUCUGCACGAGACACCUUUGGAAAUAUUAAGCACCUAUAAAUAAUAGAUCUCUUUCUGUAUGGUUGCUUUUUAUUCUCUCAUUUUAAACUUUCUUGCAAACCCUACAAUUAUAAAGAACAAAACUCCCAGGUGCUUUAGAAAGUACUUGAUAUUCACUCCAACUGCUACAGUUCUUUCAACACUUAUAUGUGUUUCCUGCCCAAGUAUAGGUAAAUUAUACCAUGAGUCAUAAAAACAAAACAGUCUUUAACAUUAAAUAAGAUGGUUUUAACAACACCAAUAUUACAUAAGCAAAAUAUAGAAAGGGAUUUGUAUCUGUCUAUUAAUUUAUUUGUUUGAAAAGUUUGGGGGGGAAUCAUCCUAUUUAUUCACUUUUCAUAUACUUUGUAUAGACAUGACUACCCAAUUGCCAAUCACAUGUAAAACUGACCUGUUUUUUUCUGAAUUCAUUCUAUUUCCUGUGACUGUCACCUACACUGUUCUAGUGUGGUUUUUAAGUUUAAGUAGUAUUUUGUGAAACCUAAAACAUAAGGUCUUAUAGAGCAUAUUCAUACUGUACAGCCCAUUUUUGAUAACCCUAAUGUGGUCACCAAGAGCCAAGCUCCAAGUAGAAGUUUUGCUGAGUGUCAACCAAUGACAGGUCACAUCUUCAAGAAUAAAGGGAAAAUUGGUAACACCAUACAUUAUGUAGCCUGGUCUCUUAUUCUUCAUUGAACAAUACAAAAUCCAAGUAUUGAAGACAAAAAGGACUAGCACUGAUCAGAAGAAACUUCUCUUGACUUUUACUGCAGAUUGAAUUUUGUCCUCCCAAACACCUGGCAAAGAAAGAUCACCCUCGAUGGAUGGACAGUAUUACUUUUAUAUUGGAAUAAAGUGUGUUCAACUCAACUCAUGUAAAACUACAUUAAAUAUUUAUGCCUACUUCACCUCCUGGAAUUGUUGGUUAAUUUACUUUUCACCUGAUGUUUGUGAUAAUUGACCAGGAAGUGUUUGUAUUUUUCUAAAAAUGAAACAAGAAAAUUCUUUAAUAAACAUUUUAAACAUGAUGUUCUGGAGACUGUUACAUUGGCAAUUCAAUGCUUCAGUCAAAAAUGACACGAGUCAUUUUAUCCUACAACUCACUAGUCUGAAUCAAUCACAUAGCUCCUUAUAGCCUGGCUCAGAAUCCAGCCUUCCAGUGACAACUGCAUGCUAUAAAAUUAAACUUUGGAAUAAUGCAUUAAUUUCUAGUCUUAUAAGACUGGUGUGAGGGGAGUGGGUGAUAUCUUUUUUAAAAAAAAUUUGCCUAAUAAUAGAAGAAUCAUCAUGUUCUAAGUAAGAUUGCAAGAGACCAGCAACCAAAGAAUCCUCAGGGAGGGCCAAUGUCACUGACAUCUACUGACAUCUACUUUUUGAUAAUACCAUCUUCCAAAAGUGACUUGAGAAACCAUCACAGUUGACAUUUGUUACAAAGCCCUAUGGAAAAGAAAAUUGCACACUUUUUUUUUUUUUAACAAUUUUAAAAGAUUUUGCACAAAGGCUUUCUACAGCC